rnacentral:snRNA from 1 species
AUUCUAUGUUAGUGAAAUAAACCUUUCAUUUACUUCUAUAGAUUAGGAUGGCCUCUAUGCAAGGAUGACACGCAAAUACAUGAAGCAUUCCGUAUUUUU